rnacentral:rRNA from 1 species
ACGCUCGACACCUACGGGAGCAGCAGUGGGGAAUAUUGCACAAUGGGGGAAACCCUGAUGCAGCGACGCCGCGUGAGCGAAGAAGUAUUUCGGUAUGUAAAGCUCUAUCAGCAGGGAAGAAACUGACGGUACCUGACUAAGAAGCACCGGCUAAAUACGUGCCGANAGCCGCGGUAAUCUGAGCGGGCUGGCAAGGC